rnacentral:rRNA from 1 species
AAAUUGAAGAGUUUGAUCAUGGCUCAGAUUGAACGCUGGCGGCAGGCCUAACACAUGCAAGUCGAACGGUAACAGGAAGCAGCUUGCUGCUUCGCUGACGAGUGGCGGACGGGUGAGUAAUGUCUGGGAAACUGCCUGAUGGAGGGGGAUAACUACUGGAAACGGUGGCUAAUACCGCAUAAUGUCGCAAGACCAAAGAGGGGGACCUUCGGGCCUCUUGCCAUCAGAUGUGCCCAGAUGGGAUUAGCUUGUUGGUGAGGUAACGGCUCACCAAGGCGACGAUCCCUAGCUGGUCUGAGAGGAUGACCAGCCACACUGGAACUGAGACACGGUCCAGACUCCUACGGGAGGCAGCAGUGGGGAAUAUUGCACAAUGGGCGCAAGCCUGAUGCAGCCAUGCCGCGUGUAUGAAGAAGGCCUUCGGGUUGUAAAGUACUUUCAGCGGGGAGGAAGGUGUUGUGGUUAAUAACCGCAGCAAUUGACGUUACCCGCAGAAGAAGCACCGGCUAACUCCGUGCCAGCAGCCGCGGUAAUACGGAGGGUGCAAGCGUUAAUCGGAAUUACUGGGCGUAAAGCGCACGCAGGCGGUCUGUCAAGUCGGAUGUGAAAUCCCCGGGCUCAACCUGGGAACUGCAUUCGAAACU